GAUGAAGAACGCAGCGAAAUGCGAUAAGUAAUGUGAAUUGCAGAAUUCAGUGAAUCAUCGAAUCUUUGAACGCACAUUGCGCCCCCUGGUAUUCCGGGGGGCAUGCCUGUCCGAGCGUCAUUACAACCCUCAAGCUCAGCUUGGUAUUGGGCCCCGCCGCUCCGGCGGGCCCUAAAGUCAGUGGCGGUGCCGUCCGGCUCCGAGCGUAGUAAUUCUUCUCGCUCUGGAGGUCCGGUCGUGUGCUCGCCAGCAACCCCCAAUUUUUUUCAGGUUGACCUCGGAUCAGGUAGGGAUACCCGCUGAACUUAAGCAUAUCAAUAAGCAGAGGA
rnacentral:misc_RNA from 1 species